rnacentral:rRNA from 1 species
CGCAUCUGUGCAUGCAGCAUAUCAAUAAGCGGAGGAAAAGUCAACUACCUACGCUUAGGAUGUUGACGCGCGUGUGUGCGUGAUCUAUACAUGACUCUGUGCAUAUCAAUAAGCGGAGGAAAAGAAACUAACAAGGAUUCCCUUAGUAACGGCGAGUGAAGCGGGAAGAGCUCAAAUUUGAAAUCUUCAAGGUUUUACCUUGACGAAUUGUAGUUUAAAGAAGUGUUUUCUGUUGAAGUUUUGGUAAAAGUUCUUUGGAAUAGGACAUCAUAGAGGGUGAGAAUCCCGUAUUUGACCAUUAUUUUCAGCUGUGUGAUACGCUUUCAAAGAGUCGGAUUGUUUGGGAAUGCAGUCCAAAAUGGGUGGUAAAUUUCAUCUAAAGCUAAAUAUUGGCGAGAGACCGAUAGCGAACAAGUACCGUGAGGGAAAGAUGAAAAGAACUUUGAAAAGAGAGUUAAACAGUACGUGAAAUUGUCAAAAGGGAAGCGUUUGACACCAGGUGUUGUUUUCUCGAAAAUCAAUUAAAAAGAGUUAGAUUUUGUUGUGUCAUUGACCUUAACAGCUUGCAUUUCAAUUUUCUUGCUUUUUUUAAUGCACUUUUCGUUUAACAAGUCAACAUCAGUUUCUUUUGUUGUAAAAAGGUCAUUGGAAGGUGGCUCUUCUUUUCGGAGAAAGUGUUUAUAGCCUUUGACUCCUGCAAUCGGAGAGACUGAGGUCUGCAGCGUAGAUCCUUCGGGGUUAGAUACAUUUGUGCUAAGUUAUAGCUUUUUAUAGACAACUUGUUGACUAUGAUUAGUCUUGUAGCUUACUCGCUUAUGCUAUUUUACCUACGCUUAGGAUGUUGACGCGCGUGUGUGCGUG